UACGAAGGGGGCUAGCGUUGCUCGGAAUCACUGGGCGUAAAGGGUGCGUAGGCGGGUCUUUAAGGUCAGGGGUGAAAUCCUGGAGCUCAACUCCAGAACUGCCUUUGAUACUGAGGAUCUUGAGUUCGGGAGAGGUGAGUGGAACUGCGAGUGUAGAGGUGAAAUUCGUAGAUAUUCACAAGAACACCAGUGGCGAAGGCGGCUCACUGGCCCGAUACUGACGCUGAGGCACGAAAGCGUGGGGAGCAAACAGG
rnacentral:rRNA from 1 species